GCCAGCAGUCAUGUGACCCUGCAACUUACAAUUGGCAGCCUACUGAAGCUAAGCAGGUGUGAGCCUGGUCAGUACCUGGAUGGGAGACCUACUGGGAAAAACCAAGGUUGCUGCUGGAA
rnacentral:rRNA from 1 species